AGUGGAUGGGGAGCAACCUAGUUGUGCGUGUGUAAAGGUAGUGCCAAGAAAAGCGGUGAUCAUGAUGAAAAUCAAUUCCCGGUACCCGAAACCGACACAGGUGGGCAAGUAGAGAAUACUAAGGGGCGCGAGGUAACUCUCUCCAAGGAACUCGGCAAAAUGACCCCGUAACUUAGGGAGAAGGGGUGCCACCGAGAGGUGGUCGCAGUGAAGAGGCCCAGGCGACUGUUUAGCAAAAACAUAGGUCUCUGCAAACUCGAAAGAGGAGGUAUAGGGGCUGACGCCUGCCCAGUGCCGGAAGGUUAAAGAAGUUGGUCAGUCUUAGGAUGAAGCUAGCGACUGAAGCCCCGGUGAACGGCGGCCGUAACUAUAACGGUCCUAAGGUAGCGAAAUUCCUUGUUGGGUAAGUUCCGACCCGCACGAAAGGCGUAACGAUCUGGGCGCUGACUCGGAGAGAGGCUCGGCGAAAUAGGAUUGUCUGUGAAGAUACGGACUACCUGCAUUUGGACAGAAAGACCCUAUGAAGCUUUACUAUAGCUUGGAAUUGUGUUCGGGCUUCCUGUGCGCAGGAUAGGUGGGAGGCGUAGAAGGUAUUCUUGUGGGGAUACUGGAGCCAACGGUGAGAUACCACUCUCAGGAGGCUAGAAUUCUAACUUAAUUAAGGACAGUUUCAGGUGGGUAGUUUGACUGGGGCGGUCGCCUCCAAAAAGGUAACGGAGGCGUACAAAGGUUCCCUCAGACUGGUUGGAAAUCAGUCGAAGAGUGCAAAGGCAGAAGGGAGCUUGACUGCGAGAAGUACAGUUCGAGCAGGGUGGAAACACGGUCUUAGUGAUCCGACGGUGCUGUGUGGAAGGGCCGUCGCUCAACGGAUAAAAGUUACUCUAGGAUAACAGGCUGAUCUCCCCCAAGAGUUCACAUCGACGGGGAGGUUUGGCACCUCGAUGUCGGCUCAUCGCAACCUGGGGCGGAAGUACGUCCCAAGGGUUGGGCUGUUCGCCCAUUAAAGCGGUACGUGAGCUGGGUUCAGAACGUCGUGAGACAGUUCGGUCCAUAUCCGAUGUAGGCGUGAGAAUAUUGAGAGGAGCCUUCCUUAGUACGAGAGGACCGGGAAGGACGCACCGCUGGUGUACCUGUUAUGAUGCCAAUUGUAAACGCAGGGUAGCCAAGUGCGGAGAGGAUAACCGCUGAAAGCAUCUAAGUGGGAAGCCCACCUCAAGAUGAGUAUUCUGGUGUAAGGUCACGGGAAGACGACCCGUAAAUAGGCACGAGGUGGAAGUGCAGAGAUGUAUGAAGCCGAAGUGUACUAAUAGACCGUCGGCUUGACC
rnacentral:rRNA from 1 species